rnacentral:lncRNA from 1 species
AGUUAAUAUCUCAAUUCAGGUAUGAGAGCCAAAAGUCUCAAAGCAAAAUCAGACGGGAACCACUCUAGAUUAAACUACGUAGUCAACUUCCCUGCAAGCUCUUCUCCAAAACUGCAAUAAACUUCUGAAUGAAGUUCUGCACUGAAGAUGAGGAAUUCUUUAAAACAUCAGCAAAAGUUUUCCCAGGAACAGGAACAAGAACAGAUAAGGACUAUAAAAAGGAGCCGUCCUUGUGUCACCGUAAGACCACCGCCCCUCGAGGAUAUAGUCCCACACGAAGACCGUCCAGAUCGCUGAGAUUGCGCAACACCACCCAGGCAGGAAUCAAUACACACCCGAAGUGUGCGGAGCUGUCCAGAGAAGAAACCAGAACCAGGAACUACAACAGGUAAGAAUUCACUUCCUUUUCAGGUCACACACAGCAGGAAAUCCAGCAUCCACAGCAAUGGCGAACAGGAACGGAUGGGGUCACCCGUGGGGAUGGUGACCCGCGAUUGGGACAAACCUGCCAAAUAAAACGUUUGACAGAGGUCCUGCUCGCGAAAAGGACACAGAAAAUCCACAAAAAGUACUUACUGUUCACCACUACUAGAGCAGAAACACUUCAACACCAGAAAACCGGAGUAAGAACACUGACGAUCCAAACCACUGUAAAAACCAGUAAAAAACACUUCUCGCCUUUGGAAGAAAUACCUUCUUUGGUCGUAGCUAAAAAGCCGGCUACGGAUACCAGACUUUGAUCUUGGCCAAAAAUCGAUGCUCAAAAUUCACCGUCCGCGAGGGUCUUGUCACCAAAUGACCUUCCUCCGAGGGUGUGCUAAUAGUGAGUGCC